rnacentral:misc_RNA from 1 species
UGGCAAGGUCAACAGCAUCAG